AACGAACGCUGGCGGCAUGCCUAAUACAUGCAAGUCGAACGAGAUCUUCGGAUCUAGUGGCGCACGGGUGCGUAACGCGUGGGAAUCUGCCCUUGGGUUCGGAAUAACUUCUGGAAACGGAAGCUAAUACCGGAUGAUGACGUAAGUCCAAAGAUUUAUCGCCCAAGGAGGAGCCCGCGUAGGAUUAGGUAGUUGGUGAGGUAAAGGCUCACCACGCCGACGAUCCUUAGCUGGUCUGAGAGAAUGAUCAGCCACACUGGGACUGAGACACGGCCCAGACUCCUACGGGAGGCAGCAGUAGGUAAUAUUGGACCGUGGGCGAAAGCCUGAUCCAGCAAUGCCGCGUGAGUGAUGAAGGCCUUAGGGUUGUAAAGCUCUUUUACCCGGGAUGAUAAUGACAGUACCGGGAGAAUAAGCUCCGGCUAACUCCGUG
rnacentral:rRNA from 1 species